AGAUUGAACGCUGGCGGCAUGCCUAACACAUGCAAGUCGAACGGGAGUAGCAAUACUCUAGUGGCGGACGGGUGAGGAAUACGUAGGAAUUUGCCCUUAAGUGGGGGAUAACCCGGGGAAACCCGGAUUAAUACCACAUGACCUCGAAAGAGCAAAGUGGGGGAUCGCAAGACCUCACGCUUUUGGAGAAGCCUACGUCGGAUUAGCUAGUUGGUGAGGUAUGGCUCACCAAGGCGACGAUCCGUAACUGGUCUGAGAGGAUGAUCAGUCACACCGGAACUGAGACACGGUCCGAACUCCUACGGGAGCAGCAGUGGGGAAUAUUGGACAAU
rnacentral:rRNA from 1 species